GAUGAACGCUGGCGGCGUGCCUAAUACAUGCAAGUCGAGCGAACAGAUGAGGAGCUUGCUCCUCUGACGUUAGCGGCGGACGGGUGAGUAACACGUGGAUAACCUACCUAUAAGACUGGGAUAACUUCGGGAAACCGGAGCUAAUACCGGAUAAUAUAUUGAACCGCAUGGUUCAAUAGUGAAAGACGGUUUUGCUGUCACUUAUAGAUGGAUCCGCGCCGCAUUAGCUAGUUGGUAAGGUAACGGCUUACCAAGGCAACGAUGCGUAGCCGACCUGAGAGGGUGAUCAGCCACCCUGGAACGGAGACACGGGCCAGGAUCCUACGGGAGGCAGCAGGGGGGAAUUUUUGACAAAGGGCGCAAGCCUGAUCGAGCCAGCCCGCGGGGGUGAAGAAGGCCUUCGGGUUGUAAACCCCUUUUGUUUGGAAAGAAAAACAUCGGGAGAAAACCCCGCUGUUCUGACGGUACCCAAAGAAUAAGCCCCGGCUAACUUCGCU
rnacentral:rRNA from 1 species